CUACUCAAAGUUAUUUUUUGUGGCAAGGUUUUUUUUCAAUAAUCCCUACCAGUUUGGGCUAUUUGGGAAAAUAAAGAGAAGGCCACACUCCCCAGUGGGCUAUACCACUUAGUAUAGUUCACUACUAUUUUGUGGCCUACAUU
ensembl:snoRNA